rnacentral:piRNA from 1 species
UAAGCACAGAUGAGAUGUGAAAGAGCAGA